rnacentral:rRNA from 1 species
AACGAACGCUGGCGGCAUGCCUAACACAUGCAAGUCGAACGAGACCUUCGGGGCUAGUGGCGAACGGGUGCGUAACGUGUGGGAACCUGCCCUUAGGUUCGGAAUAACUCCCCGAAAGGGGUGCUAAUACCGGAUAAUGUCUCCGGACCAAAGAUUUAUCGUCUUUGGUUGGUCCAGCGUUUGAUUAGCUAGUUGGUAGGGUAAAAGCCUACCAAGGCGAGGAUCCAUAGCUGGUCUGAGAGGAUGAUCAGCCACACUGGGACUGAGACACGGCCCAGACUCCUACGGGAGGCAGCAGUGGGGAAUAUUGGACAAUGGGCGAUAGCCUGAUCCAGCAAUGCCGCGUGAGUGAUGAUGUCCCUAGAGUUGUAAAGCUCUUUUACCCGAGAAGAUAAUUACAGUACCGUAAGAAUAAGCUCCGGCUAACUCCGUG